rnacentral:rRNA from 1 species
CAAUCGAGCCCGGGGAUAGCUGGUUCUCCCCGAAAGAGCUUUAGGGCUAGCCUCAAGGUGAGAGAUACGGAGGUAGAGCACUGAAUGGCCUAGGGGGUAUUGCACCUACCGAAGAAUAUACAAAUCCGAAUGCCGUCAUCUGUUACUGGUGAGUCAGACGUUGGGUGAUACGAUUCCUAGUCGAAAGGGAAACAGCCCAGAUCGUCAGCUAAGGUCCCUAAAUGUAAGUUAAGUGGUACAGGAUGUGGGAUUGCACAGACAACCAGGAUGUUGGCUUAGAAGCAGCCACUCAUUCCAAGAGUGCGUAAUAGCUCACUGGUCGAGUGAUGCGGCGCCGAAGAUUUCCGGGGAUAAAAGUUGCUACAGAAGCUACGGCAUCAGUAGUGAUGGGUAGGGAAGCUUCCCAUACGGGUUGAAGCAUGACCGUAAGGGCAUGUGGACAGU